GCCAAGAGCACAGUGUAUAUACACUGUAUGUUAGCUAACUUGACAAUAAAUUAUCUUUUUAAUAAAACACUACGCUUAGUUCUCUAAACAUGGUUUUUGGUUCUCUGUUAAGAAAGGAUCAAAUUGAUUCUAUUAGAAUUAUCUUUGUUAAUGGACAAACUCAAAUGUUUUAUAAGUUCAGUAUUUCAAUCUUUUAAUGAUAUUUCUUACUUGAAAUCACCACUUCCUGACAUAUUCACAAGUAGUAGUGUGCUUGCAUAUUUAUAUCCUUGGCUUCAGGUAACCAUACAGAUUUGCACAUAGUUUUUUUCAUCCACAAAUUUAAAUUUUGCCAUAUGUGAGCCGUUUUAUCACCCAUUAGCAAAAUCAUUCCAUACAGUAUCUUCAACAACUGGAGACACUACAGAACUGGCUUUUCAAGUUAGUCUCCAUUGUGAAAGGGAGUACCUUUAUUAAAAAGCUUUCCUAGUUUUGACAUUUCUUGCUUCCACUUUAGAGAAAUAUUAAAUAUUUUAAAGAAAAAAUAGGUUGAAUAAAAUGUUUGUUUUUCCUGCCAUGUUUCCCUCACUAUAGCAUAUAAAACCCCUCAAAGAAGUCCCAGCAUCGAAAAUGCCAUGAAACAAUAAAUGAAAGACACUAACAUUAACCCCAUUUUCAGGGAAGGCAGCUAAAAGACUUGAAAGGUUUUCGUCUCUGUCUUAGGCACUUACUGUGCUAGUAAGUGACACAGUCAGGACUUGCAAGACUAGGUUCAAUUCCCAAGCUCCUUCUAAUGGACCAGCAGUGUCCUGGUGAAAAUUAUACCAGCAAAGGAAUGGCAGAAGUGAGAGCAUAGGCAAAUCCUAAAAAAUGAUUUAAUAGUCAGUGUCAUCUUACCUUCAGAAUAAAAGGAGCUAAAGUAUGACUUUUUAUUAGCUUCAGGUAACUGCUUUGCCAAAGCCAAUUAGUAAAAUACUGUAGAUUUCUUCACCCUGCUCCUGAGAUUCCCAUUAUGAGUCUGCAAUACAACCCAGGAAUUUGGAUAGUGAGUGAUCAUACUGGAUGAUACAAUAUGAGGGCUCAAGGGCUAUACUUUGAAAAAUGUUGCCAUAGAGAAUAUAAAGGUAUAACUUAAGAUUUAUUACUGGUCAUAUAAAUUUAAAAAAAUGAGUUUUCUCAGUGUCCAAACAGAUGGACUCAUUUGCUUGCCACUGAUACUUAUUAAAUCUAAUUCUAAAAGUAUUUAAUUAAAAUUAUAUGUAGGAAAGAUUGAGAAAUUAGAGGAUUUAAUAAGCUGGUUCUUAGAACUAAAUAAUCUGGUAUUACCAGUGAAUAUAGUCAAACUGAUAAGAGAUCACCAGUGUCUGGCAGAAUUCUCCAGAAUGUGGUGAGAUAAAAAUUAAAUAUUUCCUCAGGUUAGAGAUUAGUUUUGAGUCUAAAUGGAUACAAGAACCAUAGAGACGUUAAAAAAGAUUCUUCUGAACUCUUUUGUACUCAUGUGUUGUGGUUGCAAAUUUCAAUAAGUAAUGUUCCUGACCCUAGAGAUACCUCUAUGAAGAGAGUAAGAAUGACCUUCUUACUUCUCCCCACCUUCCACUCCCCUAGAACCAGCCCUCUGCUGUCACUAACUGGAAGGGACUCCUAGCAGAAGUGGGAGGAGCCUUUUUCCUGUACUUCACCUUUCACCCACUAGUCUCUUAUGGCAUAGAAAAGACCCCUAGUGCCCACUUAUUUCACAUAGUUUAUUUCUUGGUUUUAAGUACAGGUAGUGAAGUGUAGAUUACUCAAGCAUGUGGGAAAUAAAAUAUGGAACUAAACGACUUAUAGAAAGGACAACUGCUUAUUAGAGAUCUAUAGUCUGUGUGUGUGGAGGGGAGGCAACAGGUGUGGUGCACGAACCUGAAUUUUAGUAUUACAAAAUAAAACCCAAGUCCUUUAAAGAUAAUCAAAGGCUAAGUUUGGUCUGAGCAGUGUUUAUGAGCUUUGAAGGGCAUUAAUGGCAAGAUCAGUAAAGCAAUACUAGAGACUCCAGAAAUGGUAACAGAAUGAAGCUUAAAAAUCUGUACAGGGGCUCCUGGGUGGCUCAAUCAAUUGAGUGUCUAACUCUUGAUUUCAGCUCAGGUCAUGAUCCCAGCCAUGAACUCUGUGCUGAGCAUGGACCCUGCUUAGGAUUCUUUCUCUUGCUCUCCCCCAUUCAUGCUCUCUAAAAUAAAAAUUUAAAAAUCUGCACAGUUACUAGGAAACCUUUGUGUUUGGUUUCAAAUUGAGCUUCAUAUUUUUUUCAGAUGUUACUGGAACAGCACAUUUAUAAUUGAAUUUUCUCUUUUUUCUUAAAUGUUACCAACCUUCUGUAUGAUCAUCAGAUCAUCUAAAAACGUUUAAUCUGUGCAGUUUUAUAUUAUUCUUUUUUGCAUAAAGAUACUUUUUAAUAAAAGCAAAAAAAUGAUAAAGGAACAAAUGUAUUUUAGACAGACCUUGGAGUCUUGGUACUUUUUAUUCACUGUCUUAUCAAAACCAUGUUAAUAACAUUUAAGGUUAUUUUUCAUCAAGAGGAUCAAGCAAAGGUUGUCGACUUAUCCUCAAUAAAUAAAUUAAAAUAUAGACAUGGAUUUUACCUAAACUUGGCCAAAGGAAGUCAAAAGCCCCAUAAUUCCAUCAGCUCCUACUUUCUGAUAAUGUUACUUAGAUGCAUGUAAAGAAAGUUGUUUUUUGUUUUUUAAAGCUUUACAUUAGUGGUAAGUUUUUCAUCAUGAACAUUUGAAUCAAUCUAUAGCUAAUAUUUAACUUACUAUUCAAAAAUAACUCCCCUUCCCAUAUAUGAAACCAGUAAUGAAAGGUUUAAUAGGACUAACUUUUCACCCACAUCUCUUUGUUCUCAGGCUGUCUGCCACCAUGUCUCUGUAAGAUAACAUUUAUGCCUAGCACCAUGAUAAUAAAAUGUUGAUUUAGUUGUUUUACAGGGACUUAAGCCUUCACAAAGACAGGACCACCAACCUUCUCUUUGACCAUGGUGUGCAUCAAUGGCUGAUGGAUGAACUUGUGAUGUAGAAGGGCCUAAAAAUCCACCCUUCAAUAUGCCAAGAAUUCCAUGCUCUUGUCCUGUAUGCCAUGGCCAUGGUGCUCAAUUUUAUCAGCGAGCCACUCAUUCCCAAGGAGGGCAAUAUACGCUAAGCAGAAACCAAGUGCAACAAAGAAAAGAUCACUGAAAAGUGAAACAGCAGGCUAUUUUGUUAGCUGUUGCCCUAAUUCAAGGGAAUCCAAGACCAGGGUCACUACAAGGAUGAGAUCAACCCAAGGUUGAUAUACCCUACAGAUGUGCUCCUGCACCACUAAAUCCCAGAGACUUGGUGUUAUUGAAGAUUGGGAAGAACAGGCACCCAGAAGAGCAACUCUAACCUCCUUGAACAGGACAUUUUGAGGUGCCAUUGACUACCUAUUCAGUAAAACUCAAGAGUAUUAAGCCAUGGAUUCACCACACCCAAGCAGGAAGGAGCCAGAGCCACGAUGAUCCCAAUUUCCUCAAGAAUGAGGAAUAACAAAAAGACUGUGGGGACUCAAAUCAGUAACCAAAGAGUUAAUGGAACUAAGAAGUGCAACUACAACUUUUUACCAAAAUCAGCUUGUUCUCAAAAUGCUGUCUGCCACUGAAAGGGUGGGCCUACGCCUGCCAACUCCAUCUUGUUCUGUGUCCUUCACCUUGACCACACCUCCUCCCCUUGAGCAACCUCCCCCUCACCUGCCUAACAGGACUCGGACCCUUCCCCAGCCAAUUGGCUGAGGCCAUAGCCAUUACCUCACCAACUGCCCCUAGAUCCCUAUAAAAUCUUUGUGCUUUUGAAACUCGCUCGCUCUCCCAGGUAUCUCACGGCUGCGUCAGUGCAGGUAGGGGAUUGAGCUCGAGCUAGCUCGAAUAAAGGCUCUUUUGCUUUUA